GUAGGUGAACCUGCGGAAGGAUCAUUACAUUCAGUAGCUUGCUACUGUCAGGAGGGUCUAUCAGCCUGUAUAGUUUAAUUACUGAUGAGCAGCACGACCCUCUGUCUGUACCCUUGUCUUUUGCGCACUCAUGUUUCCUCGGCGGGGGCUUAACCCGCCGGUUGGACAACUCUAUAACCUUUUUAAUUUUCAAUCAGCGUCUGAAAAACUUAAUAAUUACAACUUUCAACAACGGAUCUCUUGGUUCUG
rnacentral:misc_RNA from 1 species